rnacentral:rRNA from 1 species
UACGGGGGGGGCAAGCGUUGUUCGGAAUUACUGGGCGUAAAGGGUUUGUAGGUGGCCAACUAAGUCAGACGUGAAAUCCCUCAGCUUAACUGGGGGACUGCGUCUGAUACUGGUUGGCUUGAGUGCAGGAGAGGAAUGCGGAAUUCCAGGUGUAGCGGUGAAAUGCGUAGAUAUCUGGAGGAACACCGGUGGCGAAGGCGACAUCCUGGACCGGUAUUGACGCUGAGGCGCGAAAGCCAGGGGAGCAAACGGG